GUGGAUAACAGCCGGAUGUCUUAGCAUCCUGUAAUGAAAAAAAUAAAAUAAUAUCAGUAAGUUUUGAUAUGAAGGUGUAUCUUUUGAUACACUCCUUUAAUUCUUGAACAAAUUAUUUUUGCAUAUUUUAUUCGAUGAUACAAAGCUAUAAACACCUCCGACCCAUCUAUUGGAUGAUUAGAUUGAAAUUUUAGCCCCU
rnacentral:lncRNA from 1 species